GUACUGGAGCAUUGUCCUCUGCCUUGUUUGGUUCUCAAAGCCCUGCCCUAGCCAUUUCCAGCUUCAUUUUCUAUGCCAUCCCCUGCCACUGGAGUUCAGUAGAAUUUCCUUGAGAUGUAGCAAACAUCCAGUCUCAUAUGGAUUGGCCUAGAUUUAAGUUUAAUGCAUUCAUCUACCUGGUCCAGGAUAUUCUUUUGCCUCACCUGCCAUGAACAAGAUCUAACCAUAGGCUUUGUCGGGUGGGGAGGAACCUCACGUGAUGUGGCAGAGACUGGCUAAACACAGCUGUUACACUCUGCUUUGUUUCUGGGAGCACAAAUAUUUCCUAGCUCCCCUUUAGUUGGGGAUGGGCAUGUAAUUGAGAUUUCCUAGGCCACGGCUGGAAGGCAAAGACUUAAGAAGUAGGUGUGUCUCUUCCACGUGCUGGCUGGAUGCAUUGGACAGUGAGGCCCCAGGGGAUAACUGAGUCACGAGAUGGAAGGAGCCUGGGUCUUUAAAUCAACUCUGAAAGAGAGCCAUCCACCAACCAGAAGCAUCUGUCUUGGUUUAUUGUCUGAAUGAGAAACUCCUAUUAUGUCUGAGCCUUAUAUGAUUUUGAUUCUAAUUGUUAGAGCAGCUAGUGACAUACUAAUAAACCUAACCUUCUCGUUUUCUGUGUUCCAACCUGCAGGCUCAGUCUAAGCAAUUCUCUCUUUUCUGUAUUUCCCUGGAGAAGCAGCCUCAUGUAUCUGGAGCCUCCAGUCUUUCCCCCCAAUUUUGGGUGAUACUGUCAACACAACCACCUGAACCCAGUCUGCAAAAUUUGCAUAAAAAUUUGUCCAGAGAAAGUCCCCAACCUAUCUGUCCUCUCCCUGACCUGUGUGGCAGAGCAAACCAGGGAGAUCAGCCGCCUACUUCCUGGGCCUGUCUCCUUACUUACAUGUGUUCUUUCUCCAAAGCAAAUGAAGUUAUAGAUGAUACAGAGCUAAAAAAAAUUAAAAUCACCAGAGCAGUGGUUUACAGAUGCUGGUUCAUAAGCCUGAACUGAGCCGUCUGCAUCAGAAUUGCCUAGGAAGAAUUUUAUAAAAUAGAGGGAUCCAUGGGUCUUCCACUCAGAUUUUUGAAUUGAUGCUUCUGAAGUGGGUAACGAGGCACAUGUACUUCCAAAAGCAUCUUUGUCUCUAGUGCAACUGCUAUGCUAGACAGUGGCAUGUCAUGGUCAGCAGUAGGGUUGGCAAUUAUCAAUAACAAAGCAUCCUAUGAUGGGCCAUGGAUAGGGAAGAGUUCGGGAUUGAUUUGAAAUCAGACUUGACUUUGAAUCCAAGCUCUACCACUGACAAGCUGCAUGACUUUGAUAAACUUACCUGAUGUCUCUGAACCUCAGUUUGCCCUGUUAAAUGGGUUUAAUGAUGCCACAGCAAUAAAACUUAAAAUGAUUGUAAAGUCUCUGGCAUGGAGUUAAGAGCAGAGUAAAGAGUAGGUACAUAUAGUGUGUGUGUGUGCGUGAGAUACAAGUCCAUUGACAGAGAGAUGACAGAUGUUACAGCUUCCAUACCUGGGAAGACUGUACCUGGAAGAAUACAUGUUUAGGCUCCUCUCCCUCUCGUGGAUCUCAUUAUCAAAAACUUGCAGGGCUGAUUUUGCUGCCGCCGCCACUACUAAAAACAGCCACAAGAGGGAGCUUUUUUGCCCCACCUGAUAUUUUGAAUCCAAGGACCCUGGAGGUUUUCCUUCCCUCCUCCUUUAAAGAAAGUGAGUCAGGCCCAGUGGACUGCUCCCCAUGAAGCCUCCAGGUGCUGACUUGGGUGUAGAGCAGUCUCAACAUCCCAAGUACAGAGCAGUCCCCAUUCAGGCAGGUGGCCUCCUGGGCACUGCUCACCCCAGGGCUGGGCUCCCUGGCCCUCCUACUUCUUCCCACCCCCUGAGACCUCAGACACCCCUCCCUAUGGCGCAGCCACUCCUGGUGUAGGAGGCUGGCCUUGAGUUCUCUGCCCUCCGAGUAACCCUGGGCUCAUCACUUAACCUCUUGGAGCCUCUAUUUCCUGAUUUGCAGAUCAUCAGUCCCACUGGUUAUCAUGAAGCAAUAAGAGGUAAUAAACACCAAAAUGCUUGUAAUUGGUCAACACCAAGCGAGUAGCUGCAUUAAUGUUAAGGUGGAGCAGGAAGCCUCAAGUCCAUUGGCUGGCAUCAUGCAAGUUUGUACUCUGCCUUCUGUGACCCAUCACCCCUGCUUCCUGUGCCCUCAGCAGACGAGGAGGAAAUCAAAGGGUCCUGGUCCGUUCACUUACCCAAGUUCCACAAAGGGAUGUUUGUAAACACUCUCAAGGCCCCAUUUCCUUACAACUGUCCCAAAAGUCUGACGAUUCCUCACAAAUCCAGGGUGAACUGGGGGCACUGGAUUUUACCACAAGGAGGGUCUCUCUUAGUAAAAGGGGAUGCUUGGGUCAGGAACGUUACCCCAGAAGACCCUACCUAGAAUUUCCCAAAUUGGGAAUUUGAGAUUAAAGAAAAAAUAUAUUUUGGUUCUGGACCAAUGAAAAAAGACCUGAACCAGGACUCAGGAGCUUUUACUUCCUGAGCUGCUAUGGCUGGGGGAGGGGGUGGGAGUGUCAGAUGUCACUGUGCCUCAGUUUCCCCUCCUGGAAAAUAGAGAUAACGACCUGCCCUCCCUAGCACUCCACAGGGUUUUCAGGAGGAUGAUGUAAGAUCAUUACAAUAACAAAUAAUGUUUGGCACUUGCUAUGUGUCACACACUGUUUCCAGUGUUUUACCCUUAAAUCCUCAGAACAGUCCCCUGUGACAGGUAUCGUUAUCCCCAUCUUCUAGCUGAGGAAACCAAGCAUAAGGGAACAAGAGCUUUAAAAGUGCCCGGCAAUGAUUAUCACGAUUGACCAUAGAUGUCCAAGGUCUUUAUACUUCUGUCCUAUUGCUGCCCCUUUUGGACACUUGGACUUCUAAUCAGAUGAUAGGGACCAUUGGGUGAAAUGGGGUUGCCUGGACUCUCCUUGGAGUGGGGCUCUUCACAGGAGUACUUCCCAAGUGACUCAGGGACCCACUAUGGUUCAAAUGAAGCGGGUACUCGAGAACUCUGCUACAAGAAGAAACCUAUGAUUUGAACAUCAUGAUAUUGAUGAUGUUCAUGAUACUGAUUCCCUGCCUUUCCUUUAUCAUCCCAAUCCUUUUCCUUAAUUUUCUUCCAGUUCUUCUCCAACCUACUCCCAACUCCCACCCCCAAAUUUGGUGGCUCUGUGAUUGUGUCAUGUGCCAUUUUUUGUGUGUGUGACAGCCAAGCCAUGCAGUCCUCUUGCAUCCAUUGGACUGGGGACCAGGCAGCAGAACCUAGAAGCUCUUUCAAUGCUGGAACCUGGUGUGUGUUGGUGGGGGGGGGGGGUGGCGCACGUUCCUAUGGGCCAAGGUGCCAACCUGUAGAUUUCCAGACUUGAAGAUUUCAGAAGUGAACCACUUAUUGUGACUCUGGGAAUUCUCAGUAAUUAUGAGGGCAAACAAAUUUUGAUUCAUGAUAUGUCAGGCACUGUGUAAGCACUUUAUGUGCAUUCUUGUUUGUCUCUUUAAACUUUGAGAUUGCCAUUUCACAUUUAAGGCUUAAAAAGCAUAAGACUUGAGUCAUGGUCAACAAAUUAUAGCCCAAGCACCUGUUUGCAUAAUUAAAGUUUUAUUGGAAUACAACCAUUUCCAUUAAGCAUUGCUAAUGGCUGUUUUUGUGCUACAGCGACAGAGUGGAGUAGAUGUGGUUGAGACCACAUAAGGUCUGGAAGCCUAAAAUAUUUAUCCCUUUAGGACAAUUUGCCCAUCCCUGCUUUGAAACGAAACUGCCUGUGUUUCAAUUCAGUUCUAUCUUUGCCUCUUAUCAGCUAUGUGAAUGUGAACAAGGUUUUUCACUUCUAUGGCCUCAGUUUUCUCAUCUGUAAAUUGGGGAGAAUAAUAGACUCUACAUCAUAAGCUGUAGCACGCGAUAGCAGCAUCGCCUGGGAACUUGUUAGAAAUACAAAUUCUGCUUCAUCCCAGACCUACUCUGGGAGGCAGGCCAGGGAAUCCGUGUUUUAAUAAGCUCCCAGGUAAUUCUGAUACCACUGAAGUCUGAGAAUUGUUGACCUUGUAUUUAAAGUAGUUGCCCAUAGUAAGUGCUAAAAUUUCACUCGUAUUAUUCUUUCAGAAUGAUAAUUAGUCAAUCUAUAUAUUUCGUGGGUUUGUCUUGAAAAUCAGCCAUAAAGUCAUAAGCUCUUGGUAGGAAAAGUAACAUUUGACUUUCCUUUUAUUUCCACCUAGUACCAAGCAUGCAGUAUGAUACUCUCUCAGUGCUGUUUGGGUGAACAAUUUCUAAAAAUGACACUGUUUUCCUGGGAUCUAUGAAGCAAGCGUGGCUCUGAGCACGUGGAUGGGCCACCAUGAAUCCUUGAGUCCCUGAAGUUAUGUGCAAAUAUUUGCAUUUGCUGUCAUGCAUGCUUCUUUCUCCAUAGGCACUCUAGUAAUUUCAUCCCAUUCUCAAAGACUCUCCAGAUUCUAAACACCACUGCUCCAGAGCACAGGCUUUCAUAGGUUAAGGGAAAGGACUCUGAGCACCAUGAUACUGGAAUGGGGUACGAUGGGCAGACCCUCACCCGUUCUGUGGUACAGAGCAGGAGUAGGAACCAAAAGAUGUCUUCCUCUGUCUUAUUCCCCCUCCUCUGCCCUACCCCAGCCAACUCUGCCCUCCUCCUCCCUGACUCUUCCUCCAGGACUACUGCUUCUCUUCUUUCAGCUGCUAAAGAAAGUGGGGUAGACAACUCUGCAUCACAUCAUGGAGAUGGCUGUUUAAUUUGAGAUGAGUGUUACAUUACUCAUUGCUCACGGCCCCCUUUGAUCCAUCAGCAUGUGCUUCUUUUAUCCCCGUGUAGUGCAUACAUUAGUGCCCUGAAUGCUCCGUGGUCUUGUUGUCUUUUAGAUGUUGUCAGAGAUUAUUUUACUCGGGAAAGCAGAUGGAUAUCUUGUUUAAUGCCAAAAUAAUUACUGUUUGGUUGGCCUGAUAGUUUAUUUACACUUUCAAUGUUUUUAUGUUUACAUCAAAAGAGCAUUGCUCAAAUUAUAUUUUGUCUGUUAAAGUAAACAGGAUAUGACAAGCUUUUUUUUUUUUUAAACCUGAUUUUUCUGUUUGAGGAGUUGGCUUAUUAAAAUAGUUAAAAGAUAACGGACCCAAGUGGGACUGGUCACUUAAGUUGAGAUGCAAAUGCACAGCUGCAUGCUUUUUAUUUGUAUAAAAGCUGGAAAGAGGCAGUAAACAGGGCUUUAAAUGAGGGGCCAUCUCAUGCAGCAGUUAAGUACAGACUUGAGCUCCAGCUUCAAAUCCCAGCUCUGCUGCUAACUAGUUGUAUGUACUGUAGUUUUUCAAGUGAUCUGUACCUCAGUUUCCCCAUCAGCAAAAUAGACAUAGUGAUGGUUAUGAGUUAAAGGAUUUCACAUAUAGAAAUUUCUAGGCAUGUGCAAAAUGCUCUUUAAGUGUUGGCUAUUAUUUUGCUAAACAUACAUUUUGAAGUAAUUCUAUGCGUUUGAGGUGCAGAGAGGAAGCAGAUUCUCUAACUAUGUGAGAGACUUAAAGACCUAGAAUGCGUCUCCUUGAGUAGCUACCUUCCAACACCUCUGGCCACGUGGUCAUCUUGUCUCCACGUUAUGAAGCAGGAGUGUAAGUUCCAAACCCUGCCCUGACCCCAAAAAACAUUCCUGGUGCUUAGCUGAGCUUAAAAGGGAGGCUACUUGGAGAUAACGUGCCCACUGUUCUCUUUUUCAGAGAAUCAUCGUAAAAUAGUCCACCUACCUGGAAGAGUUUUCGCCAGCCACACAAUAUUAUUCAUUUUCAUGUAGCAACUUAUAAUUCAGCUCAAUAGUUUUUCAAAGAUGUACAAGGGAGGAAAGCUCUCCUGGCAGGUCAUCCCCAAGAAAACCCUUGGAAGAGCCCCAGGCCUUGGGGAUUCUCUAAUUCAACCUGAGGCAGGAGCUCUUCUGGUUAUUUUGACCUAACUCUUGUGUGUUUAUGUUACUUUUCAUGACUUUGAUCUUUUGUUCCCAUAAAUAGACACUUCUAGAUGCUAAUUCACUAACUUAGUCAAACUCUUUUGUUUCUAGUUGCCUUUAAGCAGUUUUGCUAGCUGUUCGAUAAAAUAAAUGUGUUGGUUUAACCUCAGGCCUGCUUUCUCAAGUUCAGGUUUUUUCUCAAGUUUACUAUGGCUCAUGGAGCCUGAUCUUUCCUCAAGAUGUCACUUCCUGUGGAGUUCCUGCUGUGGUGCAGUGGGUCAAGAAUCCACCUGCAGCAGCUUGAGUUGCUGCAG
rnacentral:lncRNA from 1 species